GAUGAACGCUAGCUACAGGCUUAACACAUGCAAGUCGAGGGGAAACGACAUCGAAAGCUUGCUUUUGAUGGGCGUCGACCGGCGCACGGGUGAGUAACGCGUAUCCAACCUGCCCAUCACUUGGGAAUAACCUUGCGAAAGUAAGACUAAUACCCAAUGAUAUCCCACGAAGGCAUCGGAAUGGGAUUAAAGAUUUAUCGGUGAUGGAUGGGGAUGCGUCUGAUUAGCUUGUUGGCGGGGUAACGGCCCACCAAGGCAACGAUCAGUAGGGGUUCUGAGAGGAAGGUCCCCCACAUUGGAACUGAGACACGGUCCAAACUCCUACGGGAGGCAGCAGUGAGGAAUAUUGGUCAAUGGGCGAGAGCCUGAACCAGCCAAGUAGCGUGCAGGAAGACGGCCCUAUGGGUUGUAAACUGCUUUUAUAAGGGAAUAAAGUGGGUCACGUGUGACUUUUUACAUGUACCUUAUGAAUAAGGACCGGCUAAUUCCGUG
rnacentral:rRNA from 1 species